rnacentral:lncRNA from 1 species
GGAACAUUAAUAUUAAACUCAAUUAUGGAGGAUUUAUUACCCUCGCCAUUAUAACUCUAAAGCACGAAACUUAUAAUAACCACGAGAACCAAUCCUAGAGAGACCGCCCUAGGACUCACCAAACCGGCCGAAUUGUGAGCUUUCGCUGGUCCUGGAGCCGGAGCAAGAGCUUCAGAUUCAGAAAGAACCACUCUCGGAGAAGGCGCAGGAGAUGACAAAGCCUGAUGGCUUGGAGACAGAGUCGAUGACGGUGAGGGCGAUGGAGAUGGCUGACGAGGACUGUGGCUGUGGUGGGCGGUGGACAUGACCUUGACGGGUAGCUUCUGACCUUUGAGACAAUUUUCUGAGUUGCCGCUGACAAAAAAGAACGGACCUGAGCGGCUAAGAACAUAGAGAGAGUCUCCGUCCGUGAGGGAGGUUAUUGGGUGAGUAGUGUUGCAUGUGUUGAAUUCUUCUUCACUCACCUCCAACACUGAAUCUUUCCCCUUAGGGUACUUAAAAUCUAGCAAAAUCAAAAGUCAAAAUAGUUGAUAUAUAGUAUCAUGAAUUAUGAUGUUAUUAUUAUGACAUUAACACAUGAAUGUGUAUAUAGAAGAGAAGAGAGAGAGAGACUUACAAAGAGUGUCAUUGACCUGAAACCGGCUUCGAUAAGACCAAUGAGAAUAGUCCUCGGAUGGAGUAAGGACCCAACCAUCUCUCCCACCGACAUAGAACUUGUACCCAUUUGAAAACCCAAUUGCAAACCCCAAACUCAUUAACAUCACAGUCAUCAAAUAGGCAUCAAACCUUUUGAUCAAACCCAUCCCUCCAAACUUUAACUAGACCUCAAAUAAAUCAGUCUCUUGAAAUGUGUGUUGCUCUUCAGUGCUUGUAUGCGUAUUUAUAGUGAAAGUAGAGAAGUCAUAGCCGUUAACUUUUGGCUGCAUCAACUUCGACUCUCUAGAGAAUAUGCAAAAUUAAUAAGAAGCGUUUCAAGUUUUGCUCCUCUUUUGUUUUCUUCACACGUUUCAACAUGCAAUGGACUUAACGGCCAUCUCUCUUCUUUUCACACAUUUCAUUUACUCCCUCCUCAAAUCACAAACAACCAUUUAAAACUAGAUCUUCUAAUUUGUCAGUCAUUUAAUAUAAAGCUGAAAUUCAAUUUUCUUAAAAAAAUAACUUGCGUAACGUAUUGUCUUCAUUUUAUAUAAGAAAAAAAAAGUAUACAAAUGAGCUAAAAGCCUAAAAAAACCAACUAGAAGGAGUUCAAAAUAAUUAAAAAACUAAUGUGCUUUUAAAUGAUCAAGUAUGUUAAAAGAAAGGCUUUAAGGAUUUUAUCCUCUAUAUUUGCAGCCCAACUAGUUGGACAAUAUUAGAAUAAACUAUUUACUAUUUUCUUGUAACAGAACAUAUUUCAUCCUCUACGUUUAAAGCCCAACUAUUUCUAUAAGUGGAUGGAUGCUUUCUUCAGUAUGCCUAGCUUAGAGAGGAGCUAAUUGUGAAGCUUCAAAAUAUUCUUCAGCCACGUCUAUUUAGCUUCUGAUACAGCCAGCAAUCUUCUACUGCUUCCUCUACAGUCUGCAGAAAACCCAAACCCUAGUUUCACUAGAAGUUGUGAGAUGGAAAAGCUGGAACCUCUAGGGGUUUUGGGAUCAGAGUUCGAAACUCGAUAAUGGAGCGACCAGGUUUGUGUUUUAGAUUUAUCUUCUUAUCACUAUUGAGCUGAUCACACUUUAGUGAAAUGCCCACCAUUGACUAUAUUGAAGCUCUGUGAUAAUUGCUUGGCCUUUGUGGAACCAUGCUUUCUAAUUGAAUCUUUUGUCAAAUAAUUGUGGUAUGUUUUAGCUGUAUGUCAAACAAUAUGAAACAGGUGGUGCUGGUUCUUUUAGUAAAGACGGAUAGACACUUGUGUUCUGUAUAAACUGUAUAAUGUUACAAUCUUAAGUGAAUAUUCUUUCACCCACAACCCAAUCUUCCUCACAUUUCUUGUUCCUCCAUUUUCUUUGAAUCCCUAUGUGUAGGAUGGGGCAGGAGCAGGAGCAAGGGAAGGUCCUGCAGCAAACGGAGACGCCUGAGGAGCCACGGCUGAGCAUUCAUGGUCAUAGCAGUCUACAGGGUGGUCAAGUACAUCUUCACAGACUUUGUGGCUCCGUUGGUGGGGUUUGUCAGGCAGACAGUUGUUACUAUCGUCAAAGACUAUUCCUCUGGAAGUCAGGUUCCUGCAGAUACCUUCUUCUUCAGAGAAAUAGUUGUCAGAGACGGUAAGGUUCUGCAGGCUAGGCAGAACGCAGACUCCAAGAGGGACAGCGCCAGUGAACAUGUUAUGGUCCAGAUUCAGCAGCUCAAGAUGUCCUAGCCCAGCGAGACUGUAAGGCACAGGACCAACUAAAGCCCUAGGACUCACCAAACCGGCCGAAUUGUGAGCUUUCGCUGGUCCUGGAGCCGGAGCAAGAGCUUCAGAUUCAGAAAGAACCACUCUCGGAGAAGGCGCAGGAGAUGACAAAGCCUGAUGGCUUGGAGACAGAGUCGAUGACGGUGAGGGCGAUGGAGAUGGCUGACGAGGACUGUGGCUGUGGUGGGCGGUGGACAUGACCUUGACGGGUAGCUUCUGACCUUUGAGACAAUUUUCUGAGUUGCCGCUGACAAAAAAGAACGGACCUGAGCGGCUAAGAACAUAGAGAGAGUCUCCGUCCGUGAGGGAGGUUAUUGGGUGAGUAGUGUUGCAUGUGUUGAAUUCUUCUUCACUCACCUCCAACACUGAAUCUUUCCCCUUAGGGUACUUAAAAUCUAGCAAAAUCAAAAGUCGAAUUAGUUGAUAUAUAGUAUCAUGAAU